rnacentral:ncRNA from 2 species
GCAAGAGAUAGAGGUGCAGACCAUAAGGUAGCGCAGGAUGACAAGGACGGGGCGUCCGAUGACAUGCGUGAAUGUAUGAUUUGCCGAAAGUAAUUCGCAGCCCCAUGCGCUUUACUUGGGAGUGAUGCUCAGCGCAGCACUCUUGUCAUGUAGGACAUGAAGCGCUAUCGGUUCG